GUAGGGGGCAAGCGUUAUCCGGAUUUACUGGGUGUAAAGGGAGCGUAGGCGGCUUAGUAAGUCAGAAGUGAAAGCCCGCAGCUCAACUGCGGGACUGCUUUUGAAACUGCCAGGCUAGAGUGUCGGAGAGGUAAGUGGAAUUCCUAGUGUAGCGGUGAAAUGCGUAGAUAUUAGGAGGAACACCAGUGGCGAAGGCGGCUUACUGGACGAUGACUGACGCUGAGGCAUGAGAGCAUGGGGAGCAA
rnacentral:rRNA from 1 species